UACGAGAGGCGCAAACGUUAUUCGGAAUUACUGGGCUUAAAGAGUUCGUAGGCGGCGCAGAAAGUAGGGUGUGAAAGCCCUCGGCUCAACCGAGGAAUUGCGCUCUAAACUACUGUGCUUGAGGGACCUAGAGGUGAGCGGAACUGAUGGUGGAGCGGUGAAAUGCGUAGAUAUCUGGAGGAAUACCGGUGGCGAAGGCGGCAUCCUGGACCAUUACUGACGCUUAAGCGCGAAAGCUAGGGGAGCAAACGGGG
rnacentral:rRNA from 1 species